rnacentral:tRNA from 1 species
GCGAGCGUGGUGGAAUUGGCAGACACGCUAGACUUAGGAUCUAGUGCCGAAAGGCGUGGGGGUUCAAGUCCCUUCGCUCGCA